rnacentral:lncRNA from 1 species
GAGCAAGAUAUAUGAUGUAAUUUUGCUUUGUAAACUCUGAAUUUGUGAUUUUAUUUCAUGAACUUCCAUUACAUGGCACUUUAUGAUCAUAAUAAUCAUGUAGCUAAUGUUCUAUAAUUCAAUUAUUGCACUGUUGUGAACAUUAACAAUCAUGUAGCAGAUCUGAAGAGUAGUGGUACAAACAGGCAAUAUUCAUCUUUCAGUUAGUUACAGCCUAUUGCAUAAUUACUUAAGUUGCCAUUUGCACAACACAUAACAUUGGCAUUGAAAUGCAACAAUUAAUUAUUUGACUAGUGCAUAGUCUUGGAGAUUGUAGGAGGCAACUAAUGGGAAUUUAUGGAACAAAUGAAGAUAUAUAUCUUGCCAGCAAUCAUC